rnacentral:tRNA from 1 species
GCUACAAUAGUUUACACAAAAAAUUAGCCUGUGAAGCUAAAAACGGACACCCCCCCUCGUAGCU